CGUCUGAAUGUAUGCUAUUCUCAUAGGCCUCCCUUAAAUACACGUGCUUCCUGCCUCUUCCCUCUCCUGUAGGGUGAAGAACAAAAUUUUGCUGCCAUGCAGUGGUAUGCGUGUGGUACUGUGUGGUGAGUUUACUUUGCAUUUCCCUGAUGACUAGUGAAGGAAGAAGAUUAAGCCCAGAAAAUCAGGGCGGGAACUUGAGCCUGAAGCAGGGAAAAUGGGAUGGUUCUGGGGCUCAAAACCCCUCAUGUUUGCAAAGACGUCACAGGGGGCCCGCAGGCUGUGCAGCCGCCCAGCUCAGCUACCAGGUAUCCUGGAGAGCCUGCUACGUCAGUAUAGGAAACAGCUCUAUAAUCUUCACGGUGUGUCUGUACUGGGCAAUCUAAUCAUUCCCUAUCGGAAGGCAUGUCAAGUUGUUACUACUUAUAAAAAAAAUUAAGAUAA